rnacentral:lncRNA from 1 species
UUCCCAAAGUUUUCAAAGCCAGCCUAACAAUGCAUUAGCAUCAUAUUUAGCGGAUCCUGCCAGUGUUAAAUCCUGUGUUAAGGAGGAGGGUUACCACACUGAUAAACACUUUUUGUAUUGAAUAUUGUGUAUUAUGCUCAAUGCCCCUUAAUUCUGCACACUUAGAAUCCAGUUCCAUAAUUUCUCCCCUAGAGACUCUAAUAUACAUGUAGCCUGUGUCUCAUUUGGUCUAAGUCAUUUUCCUCCCUUUGCAGGCCUGAUGCUCACAGAACUUGUCUGUGUUGUCACUUGACCCUACUUAUUGGUCUGGCUGACUGGGGACAGGAGCGCUACAUCCAGAGGAUGAAAUAUGCAGAAAAAUCUCCAUAGUAAUGAAUUGAUGGAUCAGCUGGCACCACCAGACUGAU